rnacentral:rRNA from 1 species
GACGAACGCUGGCGGCGUGCCUAAUACAUGCAAGUAGGACGCAGUUGCGAACGGGUGAGUAACGCGUCGGUAACUGCCUAUUAGAGGGGGAUAACUAUUGGCAACGAUAGCCAAUCCCGCAUACUAGUAUAUGGACCUGCGUUGUAUUAGCUAGUAGGUAGGGUAAUGGCCUACCUAGGCAACGAUACAUAGCCGAGCUGAGAGGAUGAUCUGCCACACUGGGACUGAGACACGGCCCAGACUCCUACGGGAGGCAGCAGUAGGGAAUCUUCGGCAAUGGGGGGAACCCUGACCGAGCAACGCCGCGUGAGUGAAGAAGGUUUUCGGAUCGUAAAGCGCUGUUGUUAAGGAAGCGGUACUUAAACAGAAAGGGACGGCUAACUACGUGCCAGCAGCCGCGGUAAUUC